rnacentral:pre_miRNA from 1 species
AAAAAGACAAACAGUAAAUUUCCAUAUCCAACAUUUGACUGUCCGUCUUAUAUGAAUUUUUUUUUAUAAUUAGUAUUUUUAUUGUUGUUAGAUGAUAAAACAUGAUUAAUACUUUAUGAGUGAUUUAUCUUUUUUAGUUUUUUUCAUAGUUUUUUUAAAUAAGACGGACGGUCAAACGUUGGACACAGAAACUCAGGGUUUAUCUUUUU